AUUGAACGCUGGCGGCAUGCCUAACACAUGCAAGUCGAACGGCAGCACAGCAGUAGGAAUACUGUGGGUGGCGAGUGGCGGACGGGUGAGGAAUACAUAGGAAUCUACCCUGUCGUGGGGGAUAACGUAGGGAAACUUACGCUAAUACCGCAUACGACCGAGAGGUGAAAGUGGGGGACCGCAAGGCCUCACGCGAUUGGAUGAGCCUAUGUCCGAUUAGCUAGUUGGCGGGGUAAGAGCCCACCAAGGCGACGAUCGGUAGCUGGUCUGAGAGGAUGAUCAGCCACACGGGAACUGAGACACGGUCCAGACUCCUACGGGAGGCAGCAGUGGGGAAUAUUGGACAAUGGGCGCAAGCCUGAUCCAGCAAUGCCGCGUGGGUGAAGAAGGCCUUCGGGUUGUAAAGCCCUUUUGUACGGGAAGAAAAGCUGUCGAUUAAUACUCGAUGGUCAUGACGGUACCGUAAGAAUAAGCACCGGCUAACUUCGUGCCAGCAGCCGCCGUAA
rnacentral:rRNA from 1 species